AACGAACGCUGGCGGCAUGCCUAACACAUGCAAGUCGAACGAGACCUUCGGGUCUAGUGGCGCACGGGUGCGUAACGCGUGGGAACCUGCCCUUAGGUUCGGAAUAACUCCCCGAAAGGGGUGCUAAUACCGGAUAAUGUCUCGGACCAAAGAUUUAUCGCCUUUGGAUGGGCCCGCGUUGGAUUAGCUAGUUGGUAGGGUAAAAGCCUACCAAGGCGACGAUCCAUAGCUGGUCUGAGAGGAUGAUCAGCCACACUGGGACUGAGACACGGCCCAGACUCCUACGGGAGGCAGCAGUGGGGAAUAUUGGACAAUGGGCGAAAGCCUGAUCCAGCAAUGCCGCGUGAGUGAUGAAGGCCUUAGGGUUGUAAAGCUCUUUUACCCGGGAUGAUAAUGACAGUACCGGGAGAAUAAGCUCCGGCUAACUCCGUG
rnacentral:rRNA from 1 species